AGUGAACGCUGGCGGCAGGCCUAACACAUGCAAGUCGAGCGGCAGCGCGGGGGCAACCCUGGCGGCGAGCGGCGGACGGGUGAGGAAUGCGUCGGAAUCUGCCUCUUUGUGGGGGAUAACGUAGGGAAACUUACGCUAAUACCGCAUACGACCUACGAGUGAAAGUGGGGGACCGCAAGGCCUCACGCAGAGAGAUGAGACGACGCCGGAUUAGCUAGUUGGCGGGGUAAAGGCCCACCAAGGCGACGAUCCGUAGCUGGUCUGAGAGGAUGAUCAGCCACACUGGAACUGAGACACGGUCCAGACUCCUACGGGAGGCAGCAGUGGGGAAUAUUGGACAAUGGGCGCAAGCCUGAUCCAGCCAUGCCGCGUGUGUGAAGAAGGCCUUCGGGUUGUAAAGCACUUUUGUCCGGAAAGAAAAGCAUUCGGUUAAUAACCGGGUGUCAUGACGGUACCGGAAGAAUAAGCACCGGCUAACUUCGUGCCAGCAGCCGCCGUAAAAC
rnacentral:rRNA from 1 species